rnacentral:rRNA from 1 species
UACGUAGGGUCCGAGCGUUGUCCGGAAUUACUGGGCGUAAAGAGCUCGUAGGCGGUUUGUCGCGUCUGCUGUGAAAUCUGGGGGCUCAACCCCCAGCCUGCAGUGGGUACGGGCAGGCUAGAGUUCGGUAGGGGAGACUGGAAUCCUGGUGUAGCGGUGAAAUGCGCAGAUAUCAGGAGGAACACCGGUGGCGAAGGCGGGUCUCUGGGCCGAUACUGACGCUGAGGAGCGAAAGCGUGGGGAGCGAACAGG